rnacentral:rRNA from 1 species
UGGGGAAUAUUGGACAAUGGGCGAAAGCCUGAUCCAGCCAUGCCGCGUGUGUGAAGAAGGUCUUAGGAUUGUAAAGCACUUUAAGUUGGGAGGAAGGGCAGUUACCUAAUACGUAAUUGUUUUGACGUUACCGACAGAAUAAGCACCGGCUAACUCUGUGCCAGCAGCCGCGGUCAUACAGAGGGUGCAAGCGUUAAUCGGAAUUACUGGGCGUAAAGCGCGCGUAGGUGGUUUGUUAAGUUGGAUGUGAAAUCCCCGGGCUCAACCUGGGAACUGCAUUCAAAACUGACUGACUAGAGUAUGGUAGAGGGUGGUGGAAUUUCCUGUGUAGCGGUGAAAUGCGUAGAUAUAGGAAGGAACACCAGUGGCGAAGGCGACCACCUGGACUAAUACUGACACUGAGGUGCGAAAGCGUGGGGAGCAAACA